GCAAGGGCAUCCCCAGGCAUGGAGGGGAUGGGAUCACUGUAGGCCAGGGAGAAGCCCUGGCCUGUCGUGUCGGGCAGAGCAGAGCAGGAGGGGAGGACCCUGCGGUGGUGCGGGCACCCCAUCCUCCAGGCUGAGACCCACAGGACGAGAAAGACAGUUCUCAUAGGGGGUCUGGGAGGGACAGAGGGCAGGCAGAGAAGGGGACAGAGACAGGAAGGCUGGCCCAGGCCUUGUGUGAAACUGCAGUUCCUUAAACGUGGGUGAGACUCGGGCGGCCUCAUCUGGGGAGCAGGGGCGGCCGACCAGCCUGGCAGGAGUUGGAUCAGGCAGGUGACAGCACAUCCUGUGAAAAGAGCCUGGUUUUCAUGAGCAAGGGGCCCAAGUUUGACCCAGGGACCUCACCACGGGAGUCCGUGGGCAGCUGUGGGACACCCUGGCCCAGCUUCCUUAGCUGUAAAGUGACUAGAACAAUAACGCCCAAACAGGGGUGCUGGGAAGACGGAAGGGCGUCCUUUCCCCAGACUGGCCCAUCUUUGGACACCCUGAACCUGCUCCCAGAAUUUGACUGGGGGGCCAGGUGGCCAGUGGGGUACACUCCCCCAGCCCAGCCAGGCCUUGACACUGAGUGCGUAUUUGCACUAUUAAAAGGGGGCUGCUUCUAAGACGGCGAGCUCGCGGCACCCCAGUUACAGGCUCAGCCUCCAGAAGAAAGAGGCUUUCCGUUCCACGCAGAGACAGCUCCUGGUGUGGAGGCCAAAUUUAAGCCGGCCCUCUCUGCAAGGUUUGGUCAACCCACAUGGCCCCAAGGGUAUCUUUUGGGGGCAGGGGAGGGAGACGGAUGCGACUGGCAGCUGGACCCACGGGAGCGAGAGCCACGAAAUGGGAGGGGCUGCUGCUCAGGGAGCUGCCACCUGCUCUCGGCAGGAAAGCAUCUCGUGUCCACAGAGAAACCAGAAGAGGGAACAGCCGCAGGGGAGCGGCCAGCGGCGCAUUCCUGGUCCCCGUGAGCCGGCUGGUCGGCAGGCGCCGGACCUCUGCCAAGGAGGGCGACAGGAGCGGAACCUGGGGAUGGAGGGCGGCAUGCCCAGGGCCAGGGCGAGCGAGGCCUUCUGGGGAGUCCCCUGGCCACAUCCUCAAGGGUCGCCUUCGGGUCUCCCCCAAGGGAGUUUCCAGCAUCGGCUCCAAACGAGUGGAAGUCCGGCCCCAUCCUCCAACUUCCUGUCGGCAAGUCCGGGCCUCGGCUAGCCCAUUCAGCCAGAAGGCGCCUGGCGGAGGGCUCCAGCGUUCGCUCUUGCCUUCCCCUCCUCCAGCCUCUUCUCCCUCUGGCCUCCACCCAGCUCCACGGUGACCAUCCUUCAGGUGGAAUUCCCUCCCCAGCGGCAGCGGAUGCAUCUCCCUCUUCCCAGCCCAAGGGACCUUUCCUCCUAUGGGCAGGCACAGCCCGCACUGGGCGCAUCCCGUCCCGGCCCCCGAGUAGAGUGUAAGCUCUGUGUGGGCCAAAGCGAAGACUGCACAUGGUUAUUUCCACCCCACGCGCCUCCCCCUGGCACAGAGGUGGAGCAGGCACUAGGUAAACACUUACUGGUGGAGGAGAAGGAAACAGCUCCAAGGUGCAAUGCGCCGAUUUCCUGACACUCCAGGUCACCUGGUGGAGCAAGGACAUUGUUCUGAGAAGUCUGCACCCAUAAAGAUAAGGGAGAGAGGAAAGGCCAUACACCAUAAUUUCUCCCAUGUUACUGCAGAUGAUUUCAUAUCGAAAUGGAAGGUGGAGGGGAGGCAGGAAUGACGGCACCCUAGACGGAGCAGGGCCCCGAGGGGCGGGGGAAUCUGUAAUUGGUGACCGCAACUUGCUCCUGCACUUUCAAGGUGCGGUUCUCCAGGGAAUAAAAAUAAAUGUUUUUUCUCAAAAUUGAAGGGAAGUUACAGUAAAGAUGCCUGUGGGGGCGUGUAUCUUCCGAGCGGACAUCUCCAGGGCCGGCAGUGGGGAGCACGUGCAGCCUCUCCCUGAGGGGGCUCCGUCACCAGCCCCCGGGGCUGGCGGUGAACCGAGGGCCGGUGGAAAACAACAGUCAGCUUCAGAGACACAGGGUGAGAACCAGCACCGUUUAACUCCUUGUCCGGACAAACUAACAAAUGCCAUUUUGAUGACAAGGUGGCCUCUGGAGAGGAGAGAGGGCAGCAGCCACGGUCCAUCUAAACACCUGCA
ensembl:lncRNA